GACGAACGCUGGCGGCGUGCUUAACACAUGCAAGUCGAACGGAAAGGCCCUGCUUUUGUGGGGUGCUCGAGUGGCGAACGGGUGAGUAACACGUGAGUAACCUGCCCUUGACUUUGGGAUAACCUCAUGAAACUGGGGCUAAUACCGGAUAGGAGCUCCUGCUGCAUGGUGGGGGUUGGAAAGUUUCGGCGGUUGGGGAUGGACUCGCGGCCUAUCAGCUUGUUGGUUGGGUAGUGGCUUAGCAUGGCUUUGACGGGUAGCAUGGCUGAGAGGGGAACCGGCCACGUUGGGACGGAGAUGCGACACAGACUCGUAUCGGACGGGAGAGUGGAGUAUAGUGUACUAUGGGAGGGAGCCUGAUGUGGCCAAGCCGCGUGGGGGAUGACAGGCAGCGCGUUGUAUUCCAAUUUCGUCUGUGACGAGGUGUGAGUGACGGUAAUGGGUGAAGAAGCACCGGCUAACUACGUG
rnacentral:rRNA from 1 species